rnacentral:rRNA from 1 species
UACGUAGGUGGCAAGCGUUGUCCGGAUUUAUUGGGUUUAAAGGGUGCGUAGGCGGCCCUGUAAGUCAGUGCUGAAAUAUCCCGGCUUAACCGGGAGGGUGGCAUUGAUACUGCGGGGCUAGAGUACAGAUGAGGUAGGCGGAAUUGAUUGUGUAGCGGUGAAAUGCAUAGAUACAAUCAAGAACUCCGAUUGCGUAGGCAGCUAACUAGGCUGUAACUGACGCUGAGGCACGAAAGCGUGGGGAGCGAACAGG